UAAGGAAUAUUGGUCAAUGGACGCAAGUCUGAACCAGCCGUGCCGCGUGAAGGAUGAAGGUCCUCUGGAUUGUAAACUUCUUUUAUCUGGGACGAAAACGGGAUUUUUAUCUCAAUUGACGGUACCAGAGGAAUAAGCACCGGCUACCUCCGUGCCAGCAGCCGCGGUAAUACGGAGGGUGCGAGCGUUAUCCGGAUUUACUGGGUUUAAAGGGUGCGUAGGUGGGCUUAUAAGUCAGUGGUGAAAUCUCCGAGCUUAACUUGGAAACUGCCGUUGAUACUAUAGGUCUUGAAUUAUCUGGAGGUCAGCGGAAUAUGUCAUGUCGCGGCGAAAUGCUUAGAUAUGACAUAGAACACCAAUUGCGAAGGCAGCUUACUACAUAUAAAUUGACGCUGAGGCACGAAAGCGUGGG
rnacentral:rRNA from 1 species